ensembl:piRNA 21ur-10025 ncRNA
UUUAGGAAGACAUAAAUAAUU